AGUCAUAGCUGUAGUUGGUGGAGGUGGAGUCAUAGCUGUAGUUGGUGGAGGUGGAGUCAUAGCUGUAGUUGUUGGAGGUGCAGUCAUAGCUGUAGUUGUUGGAGGUGCAGUCAUAGCUGUAGUUGGUGGAGGUGGAGUCAUAGCUGUAGUUGGUGGAGGUGGAGUCAUAGCUGUAGUUGGUGGAGGUGGAGUCAUAGCUGUAGUUGUUGGAGGUGGAGUCAUAGCUGUAGUUGGUGGAGGUGGAGUCAAAGCUGUAGUUGGUGG